GCGCCUGUAGCUCAGUGGAUAGAGCGUCUGCCUCCGGAGCAGAAGGUCGGGGGUUCGAGUCCCUCCAGGCGCA
rnacentral:tRNA from 3 species